rnacentral:rRNA from 1 species
GACUUCGGUUGACGAGUAGAGCGGCGAACGGNUGAGUAACACGUGGGUAACCUGCCUAGGAGCGGGGGACAACCUGGGGAAACUCGGGCUAAUACCGCAUACGUUCUCGGCGUCAUGGCGCCNAGAGGAAAGCUGGCCUAUUCUUGAAAGCUGGCACUCCUAGAGGGGCCCGCGGUCGAUUAGCUUGUUGGUGGGGUAACGGCCUACCAAGGCGACGAUCGAUAGCCGGCCUGAGAGGGCGAUCGGCCACACUGGGACUGAGACACGGCCCAGACUCCUACGGGAGGCAGCAGUGGGGAAUAUUGGACAAUGGGCGCAAGCCUGAUCCAGCAACGCCGCGUGGAGGACGAAGGCCUUCGGGUCGUAAACUCCUGUCAGUUGGGACGAAAAGCCGUCGGUCAAUAGCCGGCGGUCCUGACGGUACCAGCAGAGGAAGCCCCNGCUAACUCCGUGCCAGCAGCCGCGGUAAUACGGAGGGGGCUAGCGUUAUUCGGAAUUAUUGGGC